UACGGAGGGGGCUAGCGUUGUUCGGAAUCAUUGGGCGUAAAGGGCGCGUAGGCGGGUGCUCAAGUCCGGGGUGAAAUCCCACAGCUCAACUGUGGAACUGCCUCGGAUACUGGGUGUCUCGAGGGUGGCAGGGGUAUGCGGAACUAUCGGUGGAGCGGUGAAAUGCGUUGAUAUCGAUAGGAACUCCGGUGGCGAAGGCGGCAUACUGGUCCACUUCUGACGCUGAGGCGCGAAAGCGUGGGGAGCAAACAGG
rnacentral:rRNA from 1 species